GUGCUCACUUUGGCAGGACAUAUACUAAAAUUGGAACGAUACGGCAAAGAUUAGCACGGCCCCCUCACAAGGAUGACACGCACUUUCAUGAAGCAUUCCAUAUUAAG